UCCGAGUUGACCCCGGCAGUCUCCCUAGAGUUCCCGACUUCACUCGCUGGCAACUAAGGACAGGGGUUGCGCUCGUUGCGCCACUUAAGGCAACACCUCACGGCACGAGCUGACGACAGCCGUGCAGCACCUGCACAGGCUCCCUUGCGGGUCCCUUGGCUUUCGCCUCGGUACCACCUGCAUGUCAAGUCCGGGUAAGGUUCUUCGCGUUGCAUCGAAUUAAACCACACGCUCCGCUGCUUGUGCGGGCCCCCGUCAAUUCCUUUGAGUUUUAGCCUUGCGGCCGUAGUCCCCAGGCGGGGUGCUUAUUGCGUUAGCGACGGCACCGGAGGGGUCGAUACCCCCGACACCUAGCACCCAUCGUUUACGGCGUGGACUAC
rnacentral:misc_RNA from 1 species